GACGAACGCUGGCGGCGUGCUUAACACAUGCAAGUCGAACGGAAAGGCCCCUUUGGGGGUACUCGAGUGGCGACCGGGUGCGUAACACGUGAGUAACCUUCCCUUGACUUCGGGAUAACUUCAGGAAACUGGGGCUAAUACCGGAUAGGAAUCCUUGCUGCAUGGUGGGGGUUGGAAAGCUUCGGCGGUUUUGGAUGGACUCGCGGCUUAUCAGCUUGUUGGUGGGGUAGUGGCUUACCAAGGCUUUGACGGGUAGCCGGCCUGAGAGGGCGACCGGCCACAUUGGGACUGAGAUACGGCCCAGACUCCUACGGGAGGCAGCAGUGGGGAAGAUUGCACAAUGGGCGGAAGCCUGAUGCAGCAACGCCGCGUGCGGGAUGACGGCCUUCGGGUUGUAAACCGCUUUCAGCAGGGGCGAAGCUUGUGGUGACGGUACCUGCAGAAGAAGCACCGGCUAACUACGUG
rnacentral:rRNA from 1 species